CUAGUAGUCAGCUGCUUGCUUCGACGAUGCCGCCCAGCAGCAGGAAGUACCAGCCGUCAUAUGAAGACGCCACGGAUGCCUCAUUCCACCCGUGAUGAUCAGGAGGAUGAUGAUCAAUCAUUAGUAGAAUAACGGUAGUUAUUGUGGAGAUACGACCAGCAAGUAUUCUACCACCACGCGUCGACCUCAUCAGCGGUGGUCGUCGUCGGAGGAGGGCAGCACUUAGAACACCAACAACCAGAUGAUGACGACAAGAAGGAGGACACCAGCGUGUAGUCACCACCGGCGGCGUUUAUCGUCGUCGUCGUCGUAGUCUUUUCUCCUACUCCGUUGCCGUUAGUCCAUCAUACCUGCAAAGGUUUCGUGGUGACUCUGGAUAACUACUGCCGAGCGGUGAGGUCUUCGUACCGGCGCCGGAUCCUUCGAGUGUCUGCCUUAUCAGCUCUGGAUUGUAGGUUAUUUGCCUACAAUGGCUGUAACGGGUAACGGGGAAUCAGGGUUCGAUUCCGGAGAGGGAGCCUGAGAAACGGCUACCACAUCUAAGGAAGGCAGCAGGCACGCAAAUUACCCAAUCCCGGCUCGGGGAGGUAGUGACGAGAAAUAACGAUGUGGGA
rnacentral:rRNA from 1 species